rnacentral:lncRNA from 1 species
AUGCUGCGGAAAUCAUGAACCAGAUAAAGUUCACCUUUAGUCCCUUGUCUACACCCUGAAGGUGUAACAUGAGGGAUCCCAUCUGCUAUGGUUUGAAUGUGCGUGCCCGCUCCAAAAUUCAUGCUGAAACUUAAUCCCCAGCGCAACUGUAUCGGAAGCAUAAUGGGACUAAGACACCAUCAGAACUUGGGACCAAAAGAAUACUUUUGCCCUCUGAGAGCUGAUUCUUAACACAGAAUAAAAAUGAAGAAUUACUUUAAAGAGAUGGACUACCUCAAGGGACUAGAACUAUUGCCACUGAGGGCAGGUGAAAGUUCAGCCAACUCGGAACCCGGAGGCCCCACCUUACCUCCCUUUGUGAAGAGCCCAGAGCCUUUGUCCAAAGCUGCAUCACUUCCCACCCAGCCCUUCCUGAGCCAACUCCCCGAUGUCUCCAGAAGAACACAGUCGGCAUCAUCGUGAUAACAUCAGGGAAACUCCUAUUUCCAGCAGUUUCUCCUUCAGCUGCAAAAAUGUGCAGCAGUAGACAGGGCGUGGGUUUUUGAAGUCUCUGCAGGAAGUAGAGUUAUUUUCUCAGCACCACAUCUGAGCGCAUCUUCUAAGGGUGGCCGACUGUGUGGGAGCUGCAGGAGCUCAGCCGGGAUGCAGCCCUCCCAUUCCCCACCCUGUCCACUACCACCACGCCUGGAUCCGACAGGCAGGGCAGGACCCCAUGCCACGUGGUAACUGUUAAGGAAAAUGGAGCCAGGUAGGGGGGAUGUCUGAUACCCUUCCUGGUUUUCCUGAGUGUUCUUUGUCUCCCCAACUCCUACUCACAAUAAAUCUGACUACACUUAAACUUAGAUCAUCA